rnacentral:rRNA from 1 species
AAGCGCUUGCAGCCAGACGUGCCCGCGGUUGUUCUCUUCCGCGGGCAGGCCAGCAUCAGUUUGGGCGGUUGGAGAAAGGCCUCUGUCAUGUAUCUCCCUUCGGGGUGACCUUAUAGGGGAGGCGUAAUGCGAUCAGCCCGGACUGAGGUCCGCGCAUCUGCUAGGAUGCUGGCGUAAUGGCUGUAAGCGG